rnacentral:rRNA from 1 species
UGUUAUGAUCUAUCCUUUUUUAUUAAAUGGAAAGACAGUUGCCUAGAUGAGAUACAGAUUUUAAGCGUGCUUGGGCGAGAGUAGUACUAGGAUGGGUGACCUCCUGGGAAGUCUUCGUGUUGCACCCC